AUUCCAUGAUGAGGGCAAUCUCGUAAUAAUUCUUUGUACCUUUCCCAUGCCUCAACAGGGACUCAUCAUCCAUUUGUUGGAAGGCAGUGAUCUCAUUCCUCAACCU
rfam:Gossypium raimondii Chr11_contig_647, whole genome shotgun sequence.